rnacentral:misc_RNA from 1 species
UCAACCCAAACUUUGACUUGAUGAUUUUGCAAAUACUGCUUCUCUGCAUCAUGAAGCACAGCUUGGAUAGUUGAAACUGUCCUCCUGAGUUUCUCAAGCUCCUCUUUGACACCCCACCAAAGCCUAGUCUCUUGAAGAACUCGAGAACCCAGCUUCUUAAUUACUUCCAAAGCAAUGCUGGAGAGAAUUGCAUCUGCCAUUGCUUUUCAAGUAAGUGAAAAGUGAAGGCAAGGAAGAAUUGGGAAGUGUUUAAGGUUU